rnacentral:tRNA from 1 species
GUCUCGGUAGCUUAAUCGGUAAAGCGACAGUAUCUCACACAAAUAGGUUCCGAGUUCGAUCCCUGCCCGGGUCG